rnacentral:rRNA from 1 species
UUGGCGGCGUGGAUUAGGCAUGCAAGUCGAGCGCAAACCGUAGCAAUACGGGGAAAGCGGCGUAAGGGACAGUAAUGCGUAGAUACCUACCCUCAGGUUCAGGAUAGCUGCGGGAAACUGCAGGUAAUACUGAAUAAUGUCUCCGGACCAAAGGUGUGAUUCCACCGGAGGAUGGGUCUGCGUCCUAUUAGCUUGUUGGUGGGGUAAUGGCCUACCAAGGCAAUGAUGGGUAGCGGGUGUGAGAGCACGACCCGCGUCACUGGGACUGAGACACUGCCCAGACACCUACGGGUGGCUGCAGUCGAGGAUCUUCGGCAAUGGGCGCAAGCCUGACCGAGCGACGCCGCGUGCGGGAUGAAGGCCUUCGGGUUGUAAACCGCUGUCAGAGGGGAUGAAAUAUUUGGGGGUUCUCCCCCAAGUUUGACAUAUCCUCAGAGGAAGUGUGGGCUAAGUUCGUGCCAGCAGCCGCGGUAAGACGAACCACACAAACGUUAUUCGGAAUUACUGGGCUUAAAGGGUGCGUAGGCGGCGCGGAAAGUUGGGUGUGAAAUCCCUCGGCUCAACCCGAGGAACUGCGCCCAAAACUACCGUGCUUGAGGGAGAUAGAGGUGAGCGGAACUUA